ACGGGUGUAGCUCAAUUGGCAGAGCAGUGGUCUCCAAAACCGAAGGUUGUGGGUUCGAGUCCUUCCACCCGUG
rnacentral:tRNA from 1 species